UCUCUUAGUUAAAAAUGAUAAAAUUGUUCGAAAAUUAGAAAAAAAAAUUUCAAUUCAUAUUUAAAUUUACCGCCUUUUUUGUUAUCGAAAUAUCGAUUAUCGACUUUGUUUUGUAUCGAUUUGGUGGCGCUUCCGCCGGUGCGGAAGUUCCGCUGCCACUUUUCCCGCGGAUUCCCUGAGUAGCAGUUCGAUGUAUAAUCAUCUUUGAUAAAAGUUCUUAAAAUUCAAUUAAAUAAGUAUAUUUAUUAAUCCGAAAUCAUCAGAACAGUCAUAUUAUCAUAUUCCGGGACUAAAUAAUGUGUAUUUUCCAAGUAAAAGGAGAUAUGGAGGAGAUAAGUCAGUCUAUAAAAUCGAAAGAUUUUUUCAGUAGUUCCAGAAGGUUUUGGUCAGACGAGUUGCUAUACGUAGAGAAGACUUUUUCCAGACGCUAAAUGCGUUCAUUCAAUGAAGGAUGCGAGUUUGUUGCGGAGCAGCUCCUGGAGGAGAUCUUGCAUGGCUGAGCGCGGUUCAAUUCAGUUUGGUCCAGUAGCAGAAAGUUUUAUAAAGAGAGGAAAAGCUGUCAUCGUAUCUGUAUAUCACGAAAAAAAAAACUAAAAGUGUAUUGGUCCAGUAGAGGAAAGAUUUAUCUGUUCAAAGAGAGGGUUAGCUGUCAUCGUAUCUGUAUAUCACAAAAAAGAAAUUAAAAGUGUUCCAUAAAGAUAGAAAGGAAGGAAGGAUGUGGACGAAGAAAAGUAGCCCCUGCGUGCUAUCGUAUUUUUUCCAAAAUGUAGUCUAUUUUUUUAUUUUUAUUUUUUGACGAUAGCAUACCCCUCGACCUGUGCAGAAGUGCAUGAAGAGACAGGGAUCUCGAGGGUGGUCCAAGAAGAAGCCAAGGUAGGGGCAAUGUUAUCAUUGCUUCAACGUGGGAUCGCCGAUCGAUGAGUCAUUCUUUAAUUUAAUCACUUCCCUGUUUUGAAAUAGUUAAUUUUCUUAAUAUAAAACAAAUUACAAUAAAAUAAUUUAUAAAUUAAUUUUUUAUUUGUAAAUUAUAAAUUAUUAUUAUAAAUUUAUAAAUUAAAAAUUAAUUUUUGUUCUAUUAAUUUAUAAAU